ACUACAUCGAGAGGCAGAGGUCGGACGUGAGCAGCCAGGCACAUUAUGUGAUCAGGGGGAAGAAGGAUAUGACCGUGGCAGCGGUGCCCACCCGAUCUGUAGAGCUGGAGCUGUGGAGUGUGACAAUGGUGUUUGUGUCAAAGCUAUCAAACGCCAUUAUCACACUAAUUAGCUACUGUGACACCAUCCCGGGGACACUAAACUUCAGGCCUGUGGCAGAAACAUACAACAUUCGGAAAAUCCCACAAAGAAGUGAAGACGUGUACAUGACACAUGAAGCACAGCCACGACCAGGGCUACCAGGGCCACAUCUCCACGAGUCUGUAAGUGCUCCUGGUGUUUGCAUUGGUUUCUGCCGCACAAAGUUAUUUUCCUGUUUUAUUUUAAUAAAGCUCAAUCAUCAUCAAAUAAACAGUUCUCCAACAACCCAA